rnacentral:rRNA from 1 species
UCUACAUAAUUGAAGACGACGAGAUUUGAACGGUAUGGGAAAGCCGGCCAUAGAGGGUGAUAGCCCCGUAAGAGAAUCAGAGUUGGAGAGGUAGUAUCCUGAGUAGGGCGGGGUCGGAGACGCCCCGUUUGAAUUUGCCGGCACCAUCCGGUAAGGCUAAAUACUUUUGAGAGACCGAUAGUGAACCAGUACUGUGAAGGAAAGGUGAAAAGUACUCCGAAUAGGAGGGUGAAAGGAGAACCUGAAGCCAUACGCUUACAAGCGGUCGGAGCUCAGUAAUUGAGUGACGGCGUGCCUUUUGCAUAAUGAGCCUACGAGUUACUGUCACUGGCGAGGUUAAGGGUCUAGAGAUCCGCAGCCGGAGCGAAAGCGAGUCUGAAUAGGGCGUAUAGUCAGUGGGAGUAGACGCGAAACUUUGUGAUCUACCCUUGGUCAGGAUGAAGUUCCGGUAACACGGGAUGGAGGUCCGAACUAGUAAACGUUGAAAAGUUUUUGGAUGAACUGAGGGUAGGGGUGAAAGGCUAAUCAAACUGAGAAAUAGCUCGUACUCCCCGAAAUGUUUUUAGGAACAGUGUGGAGGUUGAGUUUGGCACAGGUAGAGCUACCAAUUGGACUAGGGGGAGUCACAUCCUACCAAAUCCAGAUGAACUCCGAAUGGUGCCAAAUAUACUCUGCAAUGAGGGCGCGGGUGCUAAGGUCCGUGUCCGAGAGGGAAAGAACCCAGACCUGCAGCUAAGGUCCCAAAAUCUAUACUAAGUUGAACUAAGGUGGUUCAGUUGCUGAGACAGCCAGGAGGUUAGCUUGGAAGCAGCUAUUCCUUUAAAGAGUGCGUAACAGCUCACUGGUCGAGCGACAGAGCAUCGAUAAUAAUCGGGCAUCAAGUAUAGUACCGAAGCUCAGGAUUUGCAGCAAUGCAAGUGGUAGGGGAGCAUUCUAUCAUCGGAGAAGCCGAGGGGUCACCUGAGGUGGAGAGGAUAGAAAAGCAAAUGUAGGCAUAAGUAACGAUAAGGCAGGUGAGAACCCUGCCCACCGAAAGACUAAGGUUUCCGCGGCAAUGUCAAUCAGCCGCGGGUAAGUCGGGGCCUAAGGCGAAUCCGAAAGGAAUAGUCGAUGGACAACUGGUUAAUAUUCCAGUACCGACUGCAAGAGCGAUGUGGAGAAGGAGUAGUGAAAGUUCCGCGCACAGACGAAAGGGCGUUUAAGGGCGUAGGUAUAUCUUAUACAGGCAAGUCCGUAUUUGAUGCUGAAAUCCGAAAGUACAAGGAGGCUUCGGCCGAAUUGAGUGAACCUAAUCAGACUUCCGAGAAAAUCCGCUAAGCAUAUUUUGCAGUUGCCCGUACCGCAAACCGACACAGGUAGUCGAGGAGAGAAUCCUAAGGUGCUCGAGAGAUUCAUGGCUAAGGAACUCGGCAAAAUUAACCUGUAACUUCGGGAGAAGGGUUGCCUACUUCAGCAAUGAAGAGGUCGCAGAGAAAUGGCCCAGGCGACUGUUUAACAAAAACACAUGGCUAUGCGAAAUCGCAAGAUGAAGUAUAUGGCCUGACACCUGCCCGGUGCUGGAAGGUUAAGGGGGGAAGUUAGCCGCAAGGCGACGCUUUGAACUGAAGCCCCAGUAAACGGCGGCCGUAACUAUAACGGUCCUAAGGUAGCGAAAUUCCUUGUCGGGUAAGUUUC